AACCCUAGCAGUAGCUGUUUUUCGUUUCCCUCUAAUUUCCCUCCGAGCAUUAAGCAUUAGCCAGGCGGAGUUCGUAGCUAUGGUGGAACUCCAAGAUGAGCUCCUUCAAGUCUUCGUCUCUCUAACCCGGCGGAACUCUAAGCUCGUUGACGGCGCUACAACAUUGAUCGUGCUCCACCUCCAUCCCUUCCGGUACUGUUUCUACUCUCCUCAUCUUUCGAAUUUCAUCCGCCAUUGCUACUAGUAGAAAUCGAUUCAACUCUUUAACGGCGAAUUCUUUCAAUCCAAAUGGUUCCCAAGACUGUAGCCUCCGCUAUUUCUUCCUCUCUUUCGCCAGCUCCGUCGAAAGGCAAGCUCUCGUCUCUGUUUACUCGCCCACCAAUAAUUGCAUCUUCAAAUCCCCAAAAUCCAUCUCCAAUUCCUGCCGAAUCCCCGCCUAUCAUCUCGAAACCGCCAAAUUCGAAUGUUUCACCGGAAGUUUCGCUGGAAAAGUCAACCACAGAGAUUUCGUUUCAUGGACGGCUUCGGACGUUCCUUCAGAAUUGCAAGACGGGUAAUUUUACCGUAUCAGAAGCAUUGCAAUUUUUUGACCUAAUGAUGCUUGCGAAUCCUACCCCUGCGAUGUCUUCAUUCAAUCUUUUACUUGGUGGACUUGCUAAGACUAAGCACUACUCUGAGGUUUUGAAGCUGUAUUAUAGAAUGAGCUUAGCCGGACUUUUGCCUAAUUACAUAACGCUUAAUAUUUUGCUUAAUUGCCUUUGUAAUGUGAAUCGGAUUAGCGAAGGUCUAGCAGCCAUGGCGGGGAUUAUAAGGAGAGGUUUUAUUCCCAAUAUAGUGACAUAUACGUCCCUGAUUAAGGGCUUGUGUAUGGAGCAUAGGAUUAGUGAAGCUACGCGGCUGUUUAUGAGAAUGCAAAAGUUGGGUUGUAGGCCAAAUGUGAUUACUUAUGGGACUUUAAUCAAGGGACUUUGUCAAACGGGUAAUACUAACAUUGCACUUAAGUUGCACGAGGAAAUGCUCAAUGGGACUGGUCGAUACGGCAUUAGUUGUAAGCCUAACGUUAUUUCUUAUAGUACCAUUAUUGAUGGGCUCUGUAAAGAUGGGCGGGAAGACAAGGCAAGGGAACUUUUUGAGGAAAUGAAAGCUCGGAGAAUGCUUCCAGAUGUGAUUUCUUACAGCUCUUUGAUUCAUGGAUUUUGCAAUGGUGGAAAGUGGGAGGAGGCUAAAUGUCUGUUCAAUGAGAUGGUGGAUCUUGGUAUUCAACCAAAUGCUGUCACAUUUAACGUCUUGAUGGAUAUACUUUGCAAGGCAGGAAAGGUUAUCGAGGCCAACGAGUUGCUAGAGGUGAUGAUUCAGAGAGGUAAUGUUCCUGAUUUGUUUACUUAUAAUACAUUGAUGGAUGGGUUCUGUUUGGUUAGUGAUCUAGACAGUGCAAGGGAACUGUUCCUUAGUAUGCCAAGUAAGGGGUGUGAACCUAAUGUGAUUAGCUACAAUGUGCUAAUCAAUGGGUAUUGCAAAAAUUGGAAGGUGGAAGAAGCAAUGAAGAUUUACAAUGAAAUGCUUCAAGUGGGCAUUAAACCAUCUAUGAUAACAUAUAAUGCCUUGCUAACGGGUCUUUUUCAGGCCGGGAAGGUUAAUGAUGCAAAGAAAAUAUUUGGUGUCAUUCAAGCUCAUGGUUUGGUGCCGAGUUCAAGUACAUUGAGUAUCUUUGUAGAUGGGCUGUGUAAGAACGAUUGUUUGUUAGAAGCAAUGGAAAUUUUUAACGAGCUUUCAUACAACUUGAAAUUGGACAUUGAUAUCUUUAAUUGUCUUAUCGAUGGCCUAUGUAAAGCAGGGAAACUUGAAACAGCUUGGGAGUUCUUCGACAAAAUUUCCCGUGAAGGGCUUCUGCCAAAUGUUGUGACCUAUUCCAUUCUAAUCCAUGGGUGUUGUAAAGAAGGACAAGUAGAAAAGGCAAAUGAUUUAUUUCGAAAGAUGGAAGAAAAUGGUUGUACGCCCAAUGUAAUUACCUACAACACACUUCUCCGUGGUUUCUACAAAAGUAAUAAACGAGAGGAAGUGGUUGAGCUUCUUCAUAGGAUGGUUAAGAAAAAUGUGGUGCCAGAUGCUUCAACCUGCACCAUAGUCUUAGACAUGCUUUCCAAAGACGAAAAGUAUAGGGGAUGUUUGAACUUGCUUCCAACGUUUCCUGUCCAAGAGUAUCGAGGUUGAUGACAACAAUUCAGAAAUAUCUAUCGACUGAUAAGGGAUUAUGGCUUGAAAUUUCAGAUAAGCUUGAUAAUCAGAGCGUAACGUUUGGAAAUUCGAAGCUCUGUUGGUUUCCCUUGUUGCAUUGAUGUGUAGCAGCUACCCAUAAGUUGAGCAAAUUUUGAGUUCUCAUGAUGAACUUGCUUUGACUUCUGCCUCAUGCAUACAUGUCUAACCCCAGCCAGGUGUUCUUGGCUGUAAGCAAGGUUCAUUAUUCUACUAGAUCUCUCAUUCAUAAUAGUCUAAAGGCAAAGCCACCUUAAGGUCUUUGAUCAUCACAAGUUUGAAGAGACUACUUUUACUGAGUUAGAUAUAUAGUUGUGAAGCCAACUUCUUAUGGGUUCGAACGUUUUGGCUGCCGACUUAAGAUGUUGAAUAUCUCGUAACUUUGUUAGACUCCUAUAACUAUAAGCUCGAGUGGAGGAACAUUAAUGUCAUGUUCAAUGUCUACAACUCGCAGUCGUGCUCUUUUGCUUUAGGUUCUAGAAGUCUCGAAAUCAAUCCAUUCAGAUAGAAACUUGGAGUUAAGAGCACCUGGUUUAAAAAGAAAAGCUUCAAUCAAUCAACAAUCACACAAGGAAAAGAUUCAGGGUGAAGACAGAAAACAGAAUGACCCAGCAACUUCUUCCCCUCAGGUAUAAUAAGGGUAAAUAACGUCGAAGCCCGAAGGUAUAUUAACGGGUUGAUGUGACCAAGAGCUCGCAUUGAAGCUAUAUAGAAGGUUGAAGGUAGCAGGUAAUAUGAGGUAUGUAAGGUAUAUAUUAAAUUGUUUUAAAUUUAUAUGAUUUAAAUUACAAUAUUGUGUUAAAUCUAG